UACUUAAUUGUCAAAUGUAGGAAUUUCUUCAAAACUAAUAAUUUCAACCUUUUUGUAUUAGUUCGUGAGCCGCUACGUUACAUUAGGUUCGCAAGUGGUUAGCACGUGCCUUCUGCUGACCAAAGUCAAAGGCUUAGCCAAUUCAAAGCUUUUGAAGUCGCACACCGAUCAAUAAAAUCUAGUCCGCACAAAAGAUCAGGCGAAAACCCACUGUUCAACGUGGGAGCGAGUCUGGAGCGGUUUCUGGAGCGGCG